rnacentral:rRNA from 1 species
AGAGUUUGAUCCUGGCUCAGAUUGAACGCUGGCGGCAGGCCUAAUACAUGCAAGUCGAGCGCGAAAGCCUUUCGGGGUGAGUAAAGCGGCGGACGGGUGAGUAACGCGUAGGAAUCUACCUGGUAGUGGGGGACAACUUGGGGAAACCCAAGCUAAUACCGCAUACGCCCUAAGGGGGAAAGCGGGGGAUCUUCGGACCUCGCGCUAUUGGAUGAGCCUGCGUAGGAUUAGCUUGUUGGUGAGGUAAAGGCUCACCAAGGCGACGAUCCUUAGCUGGUCUGAGAGGAUGAUCAGCCACACUGGAACUGAGACACGGUCCAGACUCCUACGGGAGGCAGCAGUGGGGAAUAUUGCGCAAUGGGGGAAACCCUGACGCAGCCAUGCCGCGUGUGUGAAGAAGGCCUUAGGGUUGUAAAGCACUUUCAAUUGGGAAGAAAAGCUUAACGUUAAUAGCGUUGAGCCCUGACAUUACCUUUAGAAGAAGCACCGGCUAACUCCGUGCCAGCAGCCGCGGUAAUACGGAGGGUGCGAGCGUUAAUCGGAAUUACUGGGCGUAAAGCGCGCGUAGGCGGUUUGUUAAGUCAGCUGUGAAAGCCCUGGGCUCAACCUGGGAACUGCAGUUGAUACUGGCCGACUAGAGUACGAGAGAGGGAGGUAGAAUUCCAUGUGUAGCGGUGAAAUGCGUAGAUAUAUGGAGGAAUACCAGUGGCGAAGGCGGCCUCCUGGCUCGAUACUGACGCUAAGGUGCGAAAGCGUGGGGAUCAAACAGGAUUAGAUACCCUGGUAGUCCACGCCGUAAACGAUGUCUACUAGCCGUUGGGAGACUUGAUUUCUUAGUGGCGCAGCUAACGCAAUAAGUAGACCGCCUGGGGAGUACGGCCGCAAGGUUAAAACUCAAAUGAAUUGACGGGGGCCCGCACAAGCGGUGGAGCAUGUGGUUUAAUUCGAUGCAACGCGAAGAACCUUACCAGGUCUUGACAUCCCUGAAACUUUCUAGAGAUAGAUUGGUGCCUUCGGGAAUCAGGUGACAGGUGCUGCAUGGCUGUCGUCAGCUCGUGUCGUGAGAUGUUGGGUUAAGUCUCGCAACGAGCGCAACCCCUAUCUUUAGUUGCCAGCAUUAAGUUGGGCACUCUAGAGAGACUGCCUGGGCUAACCAGGAGGAAGGUGGGGAUGACGUCAAGUCCUCAUGGCCCUUAUGUCUAGGGCUACACACGUAAUACAAUGGUACAUACAAAGGGAAGCGACCUGGUGACAGUGAGCAAAUCUCAAAAAGUGUAUCUCAGUCCGGAUUGAAGUCUGCAACUCGACUUCAUGAAGUUGGAAUCGCUAGUAAUCGCGGAUCAGCACGCCGCGGUGAAUACGUUCCCGGGCCUUGUACACACCGCCCGUCACACCAUGGGAGUUGAUCAGACCUGAAGCCGUGGCCCUAACUGCUUGCAGAGGGGAGCGUCUACGGUCGGAUCGAUGACUGGGGUGAAGUCGUAACAAGGUAACC